UACAGAGGUCCCAAGCGUUGUUCGGAUUCAUUGGGCGUAAAGGGUGCGUAGGUGGCGCCGUAAGUCGGGUGUGAAAUUUCGGAGCUUAACUCCGAAACUGCAUUCGAUACUGCGGUGCUUGAGGACUGGAGAGGAGACUGGAAUUCAUGGCGUAGCAGUGAAAUGCGUAGAGAUCAUGAGGAAGACCAGUGGCGAAGGCGGGUCUCUGGACAGUUCCUGACACUGAGGCACGAAGGCCAGGGGAGCAAACGGG
rnacentral:rRNA from 1 species